rnacentral:rRNA from 1 species
CGGUUAAGUUAGAAAGGGCGCACGGUGGAUGCCUUGGCACUAGGAGCCGAUGAAGGACGGGACGAACACCGAUAUGCUUCGGGGAGCUGUAAGCAAGCUUUGAUCCGGAGAUUUCCGAAUGGGGAAACCCACCACUCGUAAUGGAGUGGUAUCCAUAUCUGAAUACAUAGGAUAUGAGAAGGCAGACCCGGGGAACUGAAACAUCUAAGUACCCGGAGGAAGAGAAAGCAAAUGCGAUUCCCUGAGUAGCGGCGAGCGAAACGGGACCAGCCCAAACCAAGAGGCUUGCCUCUUGGGGUUGUAGGACACUCUGUACGGAGUUACAAAGGAACGAGGUAGAUGAAGAGGUCUGGAAAGGCCCGCCAUAGGAGGUAACAGCCCUGUAGUCAAAACUUCGUUCUCUCCUGAGUGGAUCCUGAGUACGGCGGAACACGUGAAAUUCCGUCGGAAUCCGGGAGGACCAUCUCCCAAGGCUAAAUACUCCCUAGUGACCGAUAGUGAACCAGUACCGUGAGGGAAAGGUGAAAAGCACCCCGGAAGGGGAGUGAAAGAGAUCCUGAAACCGUGUGCCUACAAGUAGUCAGAGCCCGUUAACGGGUGAUGGCGUGCCUUUUGUAGAAUGAACCGGCGAGUUACGAUCCCGUGCAAGGUUAAGCAGAAGAUGCGGAGCCGCAGCGAAAGCGAGUCUGAAUAGGGCGAAUUGAGUACGUGGUCGUAGACCCGAAACCAGGUGAUCUACCCAUGUCCAGGGUGAAGUUCAGGUAACACUGAAUGGAGGCCCGAACCCACGCACGUUGAAAAGUGCGGGGAUGAGGUGUGGGUAGGGGUGAAAUGCCAAUCGAACCUGGAGAUAGCUGGUUCUCUCCGAAAUAGCUUUAGGGCUAGCCUCAAGGUAAGAGUCUCGGAGGUAGAGCACUGAUUGGACUAGGGGCCCCUACCGGGUUACCGAAUUCAGUCAAACUCCGAAUGCCGAUGACUUAUCCUUGGGAGUCAGACUGCGAGUGAUAAGAUCCGUAGUCGAAAGGGAAACAGCCCAGACCGCCAGCUAAGGUCCCAAAGUAUACGUUAAGUGGAAAAGGAUGUGGAGUUGCUUAGACAACCAGGAUGUUGGCUUAGAAGCAGCCACCAUUUAAAGAGUGCGUAAUAGCUCACUGGUCGAGUGACUCUGCGCCGAAAAUGUACCGGGGCUAAACGUAUCACCGAAGCUGCGGACUGUUCUUCGAACAGUGGUAGGAGAGCGUUCUAAGGGCUGUGAAGCAAGACCGGAAGGACUUGUGGAGCGCUUAGAAGUGAGAAUGCCGGUAUGAGUAGCGAAAGAGGGGUGAGAAUCCCCUCCACCGAAUGCCUAAGGUUUCCUGAGGAAGGCUCGUCCGCUCAGGGUUAGUCGGGACCUAAGCCGAGGCCGAAAGGCGUAGGCGAUGGAUAACAGGUUGAUAUUCCUGUACCACCUCCUCACCAUUUGAGCAAUGGGGGGACGCAGGAGGAUAGGGUAAGCGCGGUAUUGGAUAUCCGCGUCCAAGCAGUUAGGCUGGGAAAUAGGCAAAUCCGUUUCCCGUGAAGGCUGAGCUGUGAUGGCGAGCGAAUUAUAGUAGCGAAGUUCCUGAUUCCACACUGCCAAGAAAAGCCUCUAGCGAGGUGAGAGGUGCCCGUACCGCAAACCGACACAGGUAGGCGAGGAGAGAAUCCUAAGGUGAUCGAGAGAACUCUCGUUAAGGAACUCGGCAAAAUGACCCCGUAACUUCGGGAGAAGGGGUGCUCUGUUAGGGUGCAAGCCCGAGAGAGCCGCAGUGAAUAGGCCCAGGCGACUGUUUAGCAAAAACACAGGUCUCUGCGAAGCCGUAAGGCGAAGUAUAGGGGCUGACGCCUGCCCGGUGCUGGAAGGUUAAGAGGAGCGCUUAGCGUAAGCGAAGGUGCGAAUUGAAGCCCCAGUAAACGGCGGCCGUAACUAUAACGGUCCUAAGGUAGCGAAAUUCCUUGUCGGGUAAGUUCCGACCCGCACGAAAGGCGCAACGAUCUGGGCACUGUCUCAACGAGAGACUCGGUGAAAUUAUAGUACCUGUGAAGAUGCAGGUUACCCGCGACAGGACGGAAAGACCCCGUGGAGCUUUACUGCAGCCUGAUAUUGAAUGUUGGUACAGCUUGUACAGGAUAGGUAGGAGCCUUGGAAACCGGAGCGCCAGCUUCGGUGGAGGCAUCGGUGGGAUACUACCCUGGCUGUAUUGACCUUCUAACCCGCCGCCCUUAUCGGGCGGGGAGACAGUGUCAGGUGGGCAGUUUGACUGGGGCGGUCGCCUCCUAAAAGGUAACGGAGGCGCCCAAAGGUUCCCUCAGAAUGGUUGGAAAUCAUUCGCAGAGUGUAAAGGCACAAGGGAGCUUGACUGCGAGACCUACAAGUCGAGCAGGGACGAAAGUCGGGCUUAGUGAUACGGUGGUUCCGCAUGGAAGGGCCAUCGCUCAACGGAUAAAAGCUACCCCGGGGAUAACAGGCUUAUCUCCCCCAAGAGUCCACAUAGACGGGGAGGUUUGGCACCUCGAUGUCGGCUCAUCGCAUCCUGGGGCUGUAGUCGGUCCCAAGGGUUGGGCUGUUCGCCCAUUAAAGCGGUACGCGAGCUGGGUUCAGAACGUCGUGAGACAGUUCGGUCCCUAUCCGUCGCGGGCGCAGGAAAUUUGAGAGGAGCUGUCCUUAGUACGAGAGGACCGGGAUGGACGCACCGCUGGUGUACCAGUUGUUCUGCCAAGGGCAUCGCUGGGUAGCUAUGUGCGGACGGGAUAAGUGCUGAAAGCAUCUAAGCAUGAAGCCCCCCUCAAGAUGAGAUUUCCCAUUCCGCAAGGAAGUAAGAUCCCUGAAAGAUGAUCAGGUUGAUAGGUCUGAGGUGGAAGUGUGGCGACACAUGGAGCUGACAGAUACUAAUCGAUCGAGGACUUAACCAAUUU